AUCGCCAGGGAACUACGAGCUAAGCUUAAAACCCAAAGGACUUGACGGUACCCCAUAUCCCCCUAGAGGAGCCUGUCCUAUAAUCGAUAAUCCACGUUAAACCUCACCAUUUUUAGUUAAUCAGCCUGUAUACCUCCGUCGUCAGCUUACCACGUGAGCGCCAAUUAGUGAGCUUAAUGUUUUUCACCAAUACGUCAGGUCAAGGUGCAGCAAAUAAAGUGGGAAGAGAUGGGCUACACUCUCUAUUUUAGAAAAAACGAAAAACUACCUAUGAAACCUAGUUAGAAGGCGGAUUUAGCAGUAAAAAGGAAUCAGCAUGUCCCUUUUAAUCCGGCACUGGGGUGUGUACACACCGCCCGUCACCCUCUUCAAAGCUUCAAACACAGUUUUUAACAAAUUUAAGCACAACAGAAGAGGCAAGUCGUAA
rnacentral:rRNA from 1 species